rnacentral:lncRNA from 1 species
UUUCGCAAUGUUUAUAAAUAUUACUAAAAAUCGGUCUUUGGCAAUGUUUAUAAAACGUUGCGAAAAGAGCUUUUCGCAACGUUUUAUAAACGUUGCAAAACCUUUUCUUUUUGGUCAUUAAUGGACAAGACUAAAACAGUAAAAUAGGUAGAGGUAAUACUCAAACAACGAGUUUUACUCCCACGUGAUCGGCGCCGCUCGUCUUUCCUCUCCAUCUCGUCGCCUUCCACCACUGACCACCGGCCUCCUACGUUCGAGCCCUAGACGCAACACUUUUGAGCCCUUGAAUUUCGUGAGACGUAGCACCCGACAGCAGUCCUUCGAGUCUACAUUUCCACCAAUGAUUCGAUGGCAGAAGAAGAAGAAGGUGAUGCUCCUUGAUUCUGAUUCCUAAACUGCACUCAAGUUCUAUUUGAAAAUUAAUUGUCUUGUUCAUUCUAUGAAUCCCAUUUAAAAGGGCAAGUUUUGUUCUUGAAUUUUCUUUUUCUAGCUCCUAAUUUUUCACGAGAUUUUGUCAAUUAAUCGAUGAUUUAUUUGUUGUAACUGAGCUAGCUUUGGAAAUAUGUUUUCGCUACUGUUUCUGUUUUGUGCAUUUCUUAGAAUUGACUGUGAAAGAGCACUAUUUAUUUGGACAUGAAAUCCCAAAUUUGUAGUUGUGUUGAGGAUGAAGAGAUGAUAAAUUGGGGGCACCAUUCGGGAAAUUUGGAGCGAGGAAUUCUAGCCUAGGAGCUACCUGACUGUCUUGGCUUUUUAGCUAUAGUUACUACAAAAUAAAAUAUUAUCUAUAUCGAUCGGAUUGCUGGUUGUGCAACUAACCAGAUAUGAUUUCAUUAAAAUUAUAAUUUUAAUGUUGGUUUUGGUGUUUCACCUACAGUAUGAAGGUUGAAGGAUUGAGCUUGAGUACUGUGGAAUGGUUUGUGCUUCUAACAUAAAACUUAGCCUUUUAUCGUAAGCUACCUGGAGUUAAUAUUUGAACUGGAAGUUUGGAGAGGGGGGGGGGGGGGGGGGGGGGGGGGCUUCUUCCCUAAAGACCAGGAUUAUCCCUCUGAGACCAUACUUAGAGAUCAUACUAGUAACUUUGGGACUGUAUAUGCAAUACAUAUCACAAAUUAUCACAUCUAGUUUUGGCUUGUCAUUGGACUACUACUUCUCUGUUCUGUAAAACCCUUCGUUCUUCUGAUCUGUACUCAAUAAUAGUUUUCCCAUGGAGAAAGGAGCGAUCAUAUGACUUGUCAUGGUUGUAGGAGUGAUCAUAUGACUUGUCAAUUACUAUAUUAAUGAUUUAGAGAAGAUUGUUUUGGGAACUCAAAUAUGUCUCUAUUAGAGAGAGUAAAUGGUAUGAUUUAAAAGUGUUGGCACACAGGGAAACUAUCCGCCCCUCCAUGUUAACUUUCCUCUUGAUGGAAUAUAUUGGAAUCUCACCCUUGUUUUAUCUUAUUGUUCCUGGUUUGCAUGAGUGACUCUUUUGAUGGCUUAUCUUAGAUGGAAAAGGAAGUAGUAGUCUCAAUAAUAGUCAGUUCUAUUUUGAUGAAACAUUCUUCUUGUUGACACAUAAAAAUUCAGCCCAAGUCGAACAGUCCAAGGAAUAAAGCCCAACUGGAGAAUCCCCAAAACGGAUGGCCCAAAGAAUGAAGUGCAAUCGAACGAGUCAAGGUGAAGGCCCAAACAAGGGGCCCAAGAAUGCGGUAACGCUAUCGCCCAAGUUUGCAAGUCGCUCAAAAUCUGAACGAAUGGGUGUCAUACGGUCGCCCAAAGCUGUUAUUCUACUCUCGCCCAAACCUUCAAGUCGCCCAAGGUGUCAACAAACAUAACGCAUCGUAAUUAUCAAGGAAUGCAGUUAUCAAGGCAGUUGUUAAAGUAGCCUUAUCACGUUCCACAACUCAAAGAAUUCAAUCGAAGGCAGUUGAACGAUGAAAGAUAAUGGCAGCAGUUAAAAGGCGGUUUCAUGACAAAAUGGCCACUACAAAGAAAGUGAGUAGUUAUAGGACGAUCAAGCAGUUUUCAGAGUAGUUAAUCACAAAGAGAUCGUCUAUGAGGUAUAAAAGGGAGAAAGGGCGUAGAAGCAAGGACCGAAUCCAAAACUCUCGAACAGAGAAUAUGUAAUUUUCAUUUUUUUAACUUUUAGACUUAAACACUUUCCUUUCUGUAACUCGUGCGCUUGCGCCCCUUGGAGGUACGUUGUUCUUCGUUUCCAAUUGUAAAGUUCGUCGCCAAUAAAAGAACACCCCUUUUUGGGACUUUGUCUCAAGAGGUUUCGUCCCUUACACAAUCGUCUGAUCCUCUUUAAUUGUUAGCGAGUUAAUCCGCGCGAAACAAUUUGGUACGCCCAGCGGGACAGUGGUGUUAGGUGUUGAAAGUACAAAAGGUGAAACAAUAUGCCUCAGAGAUCCGACAAGGAAGGAGCAAGUCAGGGAGGAAUCCAGUCUGUAAUCGAGCGAUAUGAGGAGCAGCAUGCCUCUCCACGAACAGAUGGACAAAAUCAGAGCAGUAACAGUCGUUACGAACCAAUGACGGAGCUGAGUCCUCAAACCAUGCGUGCAUUGCUUGGAGAACUCACGCAAGACGUAGUUGAACAGGAUGCUAUUGAGUCAGGACGAAUUACGUUCGAUGACAAGAAGAAGAUGGCAGUGGACGAGAAUCCUUUCCCAUAGUUACUCGGAGUAAACAUGGUAACAUCUGGAUUCAAGAACAAGUUACCAAAAUUCAAGUUAGUCAUAGAUGACGGAGAAGAAGAUCCAAGACCACAUCCCAGCGUCUUCGAACGAAUCAAAGGAAAAGAACCAAAAAAGGACGAAAACGUCCUAUGUGCAAGAUGUAAAAGAGAAAUAAAUGGAGACACGGAGAAACCAGGGACAUGGCAGCAUCCCUAUCGCCCUGCCUUCUUCCCAAACAUUCAACCUGGUAGAGGGCGAGGUACAUCGUUCUAUAGAGGACCGCCUUUUGAAAGGCAGUUCAGACCAACAGAUGUUGGAAGAACAUUUAGGCCGCAACCUCGCCGGCCAAAUGUAUGGCAUUCAUUCCAGUACAGCGCAGGA